UGUCCAUAAUUGCUUGAGCCAAGAAAUGGACUUCAACCACUAAUUAUCCUUAUAUCGAAUGCUUACACAGAUGCAUUGAGGUUGGAAAGCCUCGAGCUUGUGCAACCCAGCUCUCUUACAAUCCAACACAGGCCUGGAUAGAAGGCGUACAAUAUCCAAGCUUUCCAUUAGGUGGUUCCCCACUUCUUGAUGCCACGGUCUAAAAAUCAAGCAAGUCCAUUCCAUGUAAGGAUCACCAAAAGCAAGGGCCCCACACCUUUGGCUUAUUAUUAUUAUUAUUUUUUUUCUUUACCAAUCUUCAUUGCUUCAAUAUAACGAAGGGUUUCCAUAAUGUUUGACUUGUAUUAUGUAUUUAUCUUUGGUUGUAAGAUGCUUAUUUAAAGUGGAAGUAACUAUUUAGAGUGUAGGCUCAGGGGUCCACAAUGCUUACAUGGAUGCAUGAUCAAAGCUGCUCAUCAGAAAAAGGGAAGAAAAAUCUGUCCACAUAUUUAUAAAAAAAAAUUCCAUAGCUAUUCUCCUCCAUCUGCUAGUUGCAGGUAUUUAUUGGUUCCUUUUAUUUUAUAUCAAAUUUGUUUUUUGGUUAUUUUAUUUUGUUUUGUAAACUUUUGGCUUUGCAUUGGUAACUGAAGGUGGAGCAUUGGUAACAGAGGGGGGCUUUGCUGCUUCAUAUGGUGAUGGAUAUGGACUUCAUUCUAGUGGUGUUGACAAAGGUCCUCUAUAUGGCAUGAGUUCUGGUUCUUGGGGUGCAUUUGAGAAGUCUCGCCUCCAACAUUGCUUAAGUAUGUUGAUUUUUUUUUUUCCUUGUGUCUCAAUCUGUAAAUUUUCUGUCCAUUAUGUAACCUUUCAUUUUCAAGCCCCCUGUAAAUGAGGCUGGUUGUAAAUGAUAUACAGGUUGUGUUUGAAUGCUAAUUUAAGCCUAUAAAGGUCAUUUGAUUUAGAAGAUUCAGUCCAGCAGA